UUUAAUUUUGGAUUGGAGAUGCUUAAUAUGAGUCUGGAAGGAGAGUUUACAGUCUAACCAGACACCCAGGUAUUUGUAGUUGUCCACGUAUUCUAAGUCAGAACCGUCCAGAGUAGUGAUGCUGGACCGGCGGGCAGGUAUGGGCAAUUUUGUCCUCCGCUGGCCCAGUGGACAAGGCCUCUGGUGGCCCAGUGGACAAGGCCUCUGGUGGCCCAGUGGACAAGGCCUCUGGUGGCCCAGUGGACAAGGCCUCUGGUGGCCCAGUGGACAAGGCCUCUGAUAGACCAGUGGACAAGGCCUCUGAUAGACCAGUGGACAAGGCCUCUGAUGGACAAGGCCUCUGAAAGACCAGUGGACAAGGCCUCUGAUAGACCAGUGGACAAGGCCUCUGAUGGACAAGGCCUCUGAUAGACCAGUGGACAAGGCCUCUGAUGGACAAGGCCUCUGAUAGACCAGUGGACAAGGCCUCUGAUGGACAAGGCCUCUGAUGGACAAGGCCUCUGAUGGACAAGGCCUCUGAUAGACCAGUGGACAAGGCCUCUGAUAGACCAGUGGACAAGGCCUCUGAUAGACCAGUGGACAAGGCCCAGUAGAAUAGGGACUAGAAGGUCCCAGGUUCUAAUCUUACCGAUGGCCUUUGUUUAUUUCAGCGUAAAGCUGAUACCUAGAGUCGAUGGUGCCACCCCCCCCCUGACAAUGAUUUUAAAGUUUGAUAAUCCAGAUCUGUUUACACUCUUAACAUAAAGAUACGUCUCCCUGACGACCUCGGCAGCUGGUCGGAAAGAUCAGAUCACAAUCGCUUCUUUAAAAAAAUUAUAAUAAUAAUCGUCCACACCUGGGGGAAAAUAAAUAAUGUAGGUACAAUCAGAAUGUGGACACAUGUGAGCACCAGGUAUAAAACAGGCCCUGAAGGAGUGAAAGCCAAUAUCCUCAGAAUGUGGAGAAUAUCAGGACACAUUUGAGCACCAGGUAUAAAACAGGCCCUGAAGGAGUGAAAGCCAAUAUCCUCGUGUGCGUCGGUCGACACAUCAAUGACGUCAUUAUUUAACCUUGUAUUUGUACUUCAUAGUGUUAAUGGUUUGUACCAGUCCUUUUGUUUCAUACAAGCAGCAUGUCUCCGAUCUGAUGAUCUUUUCAAUAUUUAUACUCUUUAAGCACCACAGGAUUAUUGACUAUUAAUAAACUGUUGACAGGAAGUGA